AAACUUCAUAAGGCCCGUGGCCUUUGCCAUAAAAUGACAGAAAAUGUUGCUUUGCAAUUCAUUGCAAAUGAUUUCAUGGUUCAGAGUAUGUCAGACAGAAUGUUUGGCCCUCACAUGUUCACUUCAUUGAACGUGGCCCUCUUUGAAAAGUUGGGAGUUGGGAGAGCCCGAAAUAAAUUUUAUCAUAUAAAAUUAGAAAGAAAAAUACUUUCAACUAUUUUGUAAAAAGGUUUAUCACCAGGUUUUAGGAUCGAUAGAUUUUCAAAAUAAAAUUUAUUUUAGACUUCAUUCUGUUUGUCUGAAUGACCUACUGUUUUUGAAACAUUGUCAGAUUAUAUUUCAAUGGGAUAUGACUGGAUUCUUUUUGAAUUAAGUACUUUUUUUUUUUUACUGUGUCCUGGUACCAAAUGACCUACGGACCGGCACUGGUCCCCAGACCGGGGUUUAGGUACCACAGAUUUUUAAUUUGUGCAAAAUUAGUUUCCAGAAAAUGUCUUGUCGCAUCAUCUAUAUCAUGUCUACUAAUGGUCCUCCAGACCAUCAGAAAUUUAAACCUUUGGUUGAUAACAUCCAGGACGAAUGUCUUCAUCUUUGGUCUGUAGAAUCUAACACCUCCUUUUCCUUAAAAUAAGUGCAUCACAUGACCUUUUCAGUUUCUUAAGGAAGAUCACAAACGUUUCUGGAAAAAGGUCUUCUAUCAUCUGGCUUUGCCAGAUUAACACAGUUUAGAAAUUGAACUCCCAACC